rnacentral:lncRNA from 12 species
GAAUGUGGAAUCUACCUCUGUCUAUACAUGGUCCCAAAACAUUACUCAUCUUCAUUUUCAUUCUUCUGUGCUGAAUGCUCUAGUCUAGAUGGUUCAGGGAAAGGGAUUUUAAAAAACAAACAAUUCCAGAGAUAGUUCUUUCCAUCUGCCCUGCGUAUACCCUUAGACCUUUUUCUUCAAUGAGAUUUUACAUAGCAGAGAAUUCUAGAACCAAGGUCUUGUGGGAUUCGUGCUCUUUUAAUCUCUCAGCAAAGAUAGAAAAAUUUAUUAUUAUUAGCACUUAAAUUGAUAGGUGUCCACAAAAAAACAGUGGUGAGUGCACUUAUGUCUAGUUAGUUCCUUUUACUGUGAACCCGGAGCACUUGGGAAAAAAUUUAUAUUCAUACCGUCCAAGUAAGGCAAGCUGAUGUCAAGAAUUACUAUCCAAUUUAACAGAUGGAAAAUCUAAGGCUUUCAUUCAUGGAGCAAGUCAGAAACACAGAGCUCAGGAGAGAAGCCAUCUCUCUUUGUCCACACCAGGAGAUGAGUCCACUGUCACAUGCUCUUGGGAUAUGCCUCCUGAAGUCAGCGCUCCUGAGUCACCCCGCUGUCAGCGGUGCCUGGAAGCUGUCUGUGCAAAGCAGAAUUUUGUCCCUAUGUCUUCCCGAUUCCCAGGCAAGCUGGCUGUGAAAGCAUUCAUGGAUGCUGGGACAUCGCUGCAAGAAGCUGAGGCUACUGCUGCUCAUCUCCAGGGCAGGGAAUGGGCAGCCUCUCCUCCAGCACGAGAGCCUGGGUUCCGCUCCUUCCUCCCGAAGGGACUUAAAGAAGAAAUCACACAGGGGAAGGCCUCAGCUGUGGGAGGCUGGAGCAGCAAAGCCAAUAAACCCAGCUUUAUUUGUAAUGUGCCUGUGCUUGUUAUUUUGUUAGCCUCUACUCUGCUUCUUUGGAGCAAUGAAACAAGGAAAAGAAAAGAAAAAAAAGAAAGAGCCCCGCUCUAAGUAUGCAUGAACUUUAUGGCCUCACUCUGCUCUCUGUCCUCCUCCUUCCCACCAGGGUUGCCUGUGAAUUCUUCUCCCAGACUUUGUGUUUUCCAUCCUAACUUUUAUGACAUUUCCCUCGAUUAAUGGCUAACACAUUCAUUUUCUCCCCUCCACCCUCAUUAUCAAAGAGCGCUUGAAUAACUAUUAACUCUCUGGUUAACAGAAACAUGUUAAUCAUCUACAAGCCCUUGGGCAGGAAAAUGAUUCUUUGUAACCUUCUCCCAAAGGCGGGAGAGCCCUUGUCCCCUGGGAGCUGACCUUCAGACCAACCCCGGUCUAGAGGUUGGCAGAACCCAGACUGCGAUGGUGUUACUAGGGCUGUUAGCCAAGGUCACAAGGCCCAGAGUGGGAGUGACGCUGGUGUUCUGCUGUCCAGGCCGUCAGGGUGCUUUCAAUCCAGCCACCCUUGCUCCAGGACCCUAUAAAGAGACCAGGCUGCACCUCUUUAAAAAAAAAAAAAAAAACUGUUUUGCAAGCCAGGACUAAUCUAUUGCACAUUCCUUGUUGCUGGGAGACCCAGAGUGGCUGUACAGGCUGUUCCUUCUUGGAGCCAUAGUUCAAAAGUGCUCCUGACCCAAACACACACGUGUUGUAACCCUGCCCUCCCUUGUGUGGGGUUGAGACAGCCGCUAGGAAGCACCUCCCCGCCGCAGCUCGGGUCCCCAGGAUCCGCCAGCCAGACCCACUGGCUGGGGGUGGGGGUGGGGGUGGGGGUGACCUCCUUCUGAAAUUAGGUGGGUGGCGCCCUUCCCGGGCUGGGGUAGGCAGGAACUGGAGGAGAGGAGGAGGAAGAAGGAUGUGGGGAGGCCCACCCCCAACCCACGGGCUGAAGCAGCUGAGCCCAGCUUAACAUCUGGAGCGUGCCCCGCGUGCCCAAGGGUUAGAGAGCCACCUUGGAGAAAACGCUCCCUUCAUUCACAAAGCCGAUCUGCUGCAGAGAGGGGAGGCCAGGGGAAAG